rnacentral:lncRNA from 1 species
UGAAAAUAAGAUUCACAGUUACUAGAGAGAUUGAAUCCCUUGCAGGAUCCAAGAAAUAUAAAGGCAAGGUUCUUGUUGUAGUAAAAUCUAGCAAGAAAAGAAAGAUUUUGUUGGACGAUUCCUCGCUUCUGAGACAAGUUCGAAUUCAUCAUCCAAGAGCGCACCUCUUUGUGUCAUGCUACAGCCUUAAACAAAGCAUCCUAAUGUUCUUGUUCUGCUGCAAAAAAGAACAAAAGGAUGAAACAAGUUGGGGUGCCAAAAUUUUUUUCUGAUGCAACUACAUCAACAAGAAAGCAGGAAGAAAGAAUCCUGGACUAGAAAAAGAAACUUUUCCUGGAUCCGGACUGCUCCAAUUCCAUAUCUUGUCCUUUCAUAACAAUUCCAAUGGAAUAGAUAUAGAAGGCACUACCUCUAUGGCCAUACACCCCCAUGUACGACACUGUACUACCGAUCUUCUCUAGAUUUAUGAUAGCCUUGAAGCUGUUGAUGUAUCUCACUGGUAGGGGUCCAGAAAAAUAAUUACUUGAGAGGUCAAAAUUUUGGAUUUUAGAGAAAAAAAGGGAUAGACUUGGAGCUAUGGUCAUGCAAGGAACCAUGCAUUUGAUUUAACUUUAGUACAAGAACUUAUAGCUGUGGAAGUGAUACAUGAUGGGAUGAAAUUUAUUAAAUUUCAAUCACCAACGCUGUCAAUUUUCAAGCUUGAGAAAUCAGCAGACUUGCGACGACUUGUUGUGUGGUAUCCUGGAAUUUUUGGGUUGAGAUUUCAAUGAAGUUGGAAGAUCUGUCUCUUAGCUUCGAAACGUAUUUUGAAUCACUCAAUUUUGAGUUCGGGAGCUCAAGUUAUGACCAUUUUAGUGAAGGCUGCGCAAGCAGAAUUUUUGAACGGGAUUAUGACGGGAAUUACAAAUUUCGGGCUUUUAAUUCGAGUUUAAAUCAUAUUUGGUUCGGUUGUAGGUUUAAUUUUUAUUAUAUAUGAGACCAAUAUUGUAUUAAUCAGCUCUUAUUAUUCUAUUAUUAGUUUGUUCUAAAUUUUUUUAUAAUUAUUAAGUAUUUUAAGUUAUUUAGGAGUUUUAUGUUAACAAGAAAGUUUAAUUUAAAACUAUUUUUUGUUUAGAUUAAAUUAGAGUUCUAGUAUACUUAAAAAUUUUAUUUAGAUUUAUUUAGCUAGACUAUAUAUAGGCCUUUUCAUUGUACACAAUUCAUUAUUAUUCUAUUUCUCUUAGAGUUAAUAAAUUCUCUCUAGAUUUUUCUUUUCAAGAAUUUCUCUUAAGUUUCUUUUAGAAGAGUUUUAACAAUCUUUUUAGAUUGUGGAGAUCAUCUUCAAACUUUUUUUUACCAAGAUUUCUAUCCUGGAGGGGAAAUUAGAGUUGUUUGAAAUGGGUUAUAGAUUCUUUGUGUUUGCAAGGCUUCUUAAGACUACAUGUCACGUUCUAUCUUUUUAUUUAUCUUGGAAGAGAAAUUAGAACUGCUUGAAGGGGGUUUUGGAUUCUUCGUGUUUCUAAAGCUUCUUAGGACUUCUAUACGUCACAUUCUAUCUUUCUAUUUAUUUUCUUUAUUCAUUUCCUUAUUGUUCUAAUAUUUGAUUUAUUUUUUUAUUCUAGUUAUUUAUUUUAAUUGUUUUAUCUGAUUUCGAUUUGAUUUCGUUUUAGGUUGUGUCAAAAUCUAAAUUUCUUUCCAAACGUGUAGAGCCCUAAGUCAAAUCCACGACUUUGACAAACUUUACGAUCCUCUUCUGUGUUCAUCCGUCUCAUUUUUUAUCAGGAAGACUUCCCAGCCAAUGAGGAAAUGUACCAUUGAUCUUGUUGUUACCAAGAUCUAGCUUAGCACUUUCAGUCCUUUACAAUUAAGGAUGGUGUCAAAGGCCCUUCUAACAGAUUUCCAUUUAAGUUGAAAUUACUCAAUUGGAAUCCCUUUGCAAAUGUUAGAGGAAUCGUCCCAUAAAACUUGUUCUUCUUCAGAUUCAUGAAUUCAAGGAUGUUGCUCAAAUCUCCAAAACAUUGCGAAAUUGUUCCACUCAAAUUAUUGUGGGACAAAUCAAGAAUUCGAAGAGAACUGGCAUUGCAUAUUAAAGAAGAGACCUCUCCAUUGAAACUAUUAUUUCAGAUCAGAAAGACUCCGAUCGUCGAAGCUGGAAUCAAAAGAUUUCCACUGAUCAAAUUGGAGCUUAAGUCAAGAAAUGCAAUAUUCUUCCAUUGAGUAGAUUGUCAAUUAAGAUUAAAGAUAUUAGAUUAGGAAAAGCAGCUACUUCAUCUGGAAUUGAACUUUCUAAUGAAUUUCUAGCUAUUUCCAAGUAUUCAAGUUGCGUUAGGUUUAAAAUUGACAAUGAAAUUUGUCCACUCAAUUCGUUCGAUGACAAGUCUAAAAAAUUCAAGGACACAAGAUUCCCCAUCGAGUCAGGCAAUAUCCUCCGCAAAUAUUUGCUUCUGAAAUAAUCAAGAACUCUAACGAUGAUAAAUUUGUGAUUGAGACAGAGAAUCUUUGAAAGAGAAUUACCUGAUAGAUCUAAGUACUUUAAGGCCUGUAGAUUAUCAACUGAAUUAAUGAAUUCGGUGGAGAAGGACAUCCACGACAGACCCAAAUGUUCAAGAUUGCUGCUCCGAUUGAACUUCAAAAGAUCAAGAUUCAGGUUUUGGUUGCCUCCCAAGUUGAGGAAAUUUAGGUUUGGCAAAUCAAAAAUGUUUUUUUGGGAAUUUUCCUUGCAAAUCACAACCAGAAAGACUGAGAGACCUUAGAGAAGAGGAUAGAUUCGUGAAGACAUGAGGAUUAAUAGAAGACAUGUUGAUUUCAUCCAAAAACAGAUGUCUGACCUCGGUCAGGUUGUGAACAAGUCCCUCGACAGCAUGUUUGUCAAUUGUUUGUCCAUCAGCCUAAUAGGAGAGAUUAAGUGAAACCAAUUUUGAUAGGUGGGAGACUUGGGAUGGGAUUUGUCCUACAAAACUUGUAUGAGAAAGGUUGAGAUAUACUAGGCUUGUAAAAAAAUUUAAAAUUUAAUCGGUUAGCAUUAAAUAUGUCAUUUUCUAUUAACUGCAAGAAAACUAUCCGGUAAACUGCAUCUUCCUCUUUAGAUGAAAUUUUGUAAAAAAAAAAAAAAUUGACAUUAUCACUUAUAUGGUCCUUCAAUUUUUUUUUUAAAAAGUCAUUUUAACUCUCUAUUUAAUUUUUCGCGUCUUUGAGCUUUUAAAUUUGCGUUAUUUAUCAAAUCAUCCCAAAAUGGAUGAAAAAGUUAACAUUUGUUAAUUCUAUUGACGAGACAUACAUAUCGAUAUCAAAUAAACAAUUAAUUGAUUUUUAAAUUUUAAAAAUUUUAAAAAUAAAACAUAUAUUAAAGUUUUCUAAGAAAUGAGGAAAUUGGAACCAUGUACAGAAGAAUGUCCAAUAAUAUAAACACAACAUUUUAGUUAUUUUCUACUGUCCAAUAAUGCCAUGUGUAUUAGUACAAACAUUCAUUAAACCUAAUUUAAUUUUAGCCAUUAAUUUAAUUUUUCAUCUUUAUUAGCCCUUAAACCUACAUUAUUUAUCAAAUAACCCUUAAACUUAUAUUGUUUAUCAGAUGAAAAAAUUAAUAUCUAUUAACUUUGCUAACGUGCAUACAUAUGCAACUUCUUAUUUAAAUCUAAAAAAUCUAAAAAUAAUUAAAUAUGUAUAAAUCUAAAAAUAUCUUAAAAUUAAAACUAAUUUUUUUUAAACUAAUGCAAAUUUUUAGUAUUUAAAAAAUCUUAAAAUUUUCAAAUUAAAUUCCAUUAGUUUUCCACCGUUGAAGAACACCUUCAAUCACAUCAACAAUUUCAUGCUGUUUUGCCUAGAAAUUGUUUUGCAAAUUUAUUUUGUUUUAUUUAUUUCUAAACCCAUAUUUCUUUGCUAUAACUCCAAUUAUUAGAUUGUUUAGGGUUUUGAGUAACUUUCGGUUUUAAAAUUUUAGAUUUUUUAAAUUUAAAUACGAAGUGCUCUUCUUCUUCUCCAAACCCACAAUUUUUUUCUGCCAAAUUUCAACUCAAGGUUUUACUUUCAACUAUAAAUAAAACAUAUAUUAUAUUUAUAAUAAUCUAAGAAGUGAAAUAAUUAGAAUUGACUUGGUCUUGCUUCCUUUAUAUGUAUGAAUGUGGAAAUUGGCAUAAUGCCAACUUAUUUUCCACGCAGAAGAAGAAAAUGGUGCUCUAUUCACUCCCUUUCCUAGCAAACAAGGCCACAUAUGACUUAGAUAGAUAUAUAUAUAUAUAUAUAUGGUCCCUAAGUGUGUAUAUAUUAAUAUAUUUUCAAGUAAACAAACUUAUGCCUUAAAAGUUGAAUAAUAGCAUCUAAGAAACAAAUUUUCCACCAGACUGGAAAUUUUGUAUUGCUUGGAAUGAAUUGACUCUCAUUUUCUAUUACUUGCUAGAAAUAGGGGAAAUUUCACAUCAAUGCAUUCACUUCACUAGGUCUUGCUUCCUAUCACUGUCAACCAAACUUGAUCGACUAGCAGUAAGGAAAUUUCAGUCAUUUGCAGCAUAAGAAUUCCACACCCUCAAAAUAAUUUGCAAUUUCAAAAAUAGAUUAAUAAGUGUGGUUCAAAUACCAAGACUAUAAUAUCUAUUCACUUCACUUGGUCUUUAUUACUCACACAGAAUGUAUCAUCAUCAUCAUUAUAUUACUCUUUUAUUGUUAUUUUUAUUUUUUUCUUGUUACUUUUAUUUGUUAUUAUUAUUAUUUUUUUAUACUUUCAUGUUUUCUUUUUCAUAUAUUCCACCUUUUAUUUGUUUAUUUCAUUCUUUUACCUAAUUAAUAUUAGAUUUUAUUAGUUGGUGCCAUUACUUAUUUGUUGUUUUUGAUAUAUCAUCGCUUCGUUAAUAUGCACCAUCAUUUUAUUAUUGUUGCAAUUACGUCACGAGCCGUUUUAAAUGUAUUCAUGCUUUUCUAUUAUGCCCCGAAUAAAUUAAAUAUCUACCAUUUUAAAUAUUACAUUAACUUUUAUGCGAUACAUAAAAAAAGAAUUUUUUUUUACCAAGGCAAAUGUUUGUUAUUUCAAAUUUAGAAAAAUCAUGUUCUAACUUACGGAAUAUGGUUGCCUUCUAAAAUUGAGAUAAUUGAAUAUAUUUUAAAAUAAACAAAAAUUUGUUUUUUUUUUUUUUACAUUUGUUCUCAUUUUCGGGAUUUAAGGCAUGGUGUCCUAACUUACGGAACGUGAUCCUUUUUCCCGAUUAAUUUAAAAUAAAUCUAUUUUUGUGAAAACAAAAUUUAAGUAAUAUUGAAACGAAGGACCGUAUUUUAAAAUCUCUUCAAAUUCUCAAUUUUUGACACUAAGACAUUAAUUAAUUAAUCAAUUAGGUACUAAUUUUGGGCGUUACGAGGGUGCUAAUAUUUCCUCGUACGUAACCGACUCUCGAACUUAUUUCCUGGAUUUUUGUAGACCAAAAAUUGUUGUUUUAGUAAAUCAAAUCUUUUAUUAAAACGAUUAAAUUACAAGGUGAUCCGAUCACACUAAUAAAAAGGAUUGGUGACGACUCCCAUUUUCGUUUUCAAAAUAAAAGUCGACCCUUUUCAAAAAUAGUUUCGACAAUGUGUAACAAGUAUUUUUAUUAAUCCAUUUGGAACAAGAUUUUGUUUCCUAAUGUUAAGAUUUGCUGGAGCAAAUAAAUUGAUUAAUGCUUUGAACUUUCCCAAACACUUUUUAUCAUUUUGUAUAAUUAGUAUAUUUGAAUAUAUUAGAUACAUCGUCUAAAACAAUGUCAAUAGUAAUUUUUUUAUAUUUUGUGGACCACAAGGGUACCAUAUAAAUAAUUUUAAAAAAAAGAUGGAGUGAUACAUUUACGUAGUGCUUAUGAAUAUAAUGUUGGAUUAAAAUCCUUAAUUAUGAGUACAUAUGUAUAAUGUUUGAUAUUACAAUUAUCUUAAUAAUUUUGUUUCUGUUUUUGUUGAUUGAUGAUUAUAAAAAUCAUUAUUUUUCUGAAGGCAUGCUUUGUUGUCAAUGACAGUACCUGCACCCUAAAAUAAUCACCAGCUUUAACAACUGCAAGAGUUGUCCUGCCUGACAUUUACUAAAAAAUCACCAGGGAGCACAUUGUCAGGAGAUCCUUGCUGGAAAAAACUUGGUAGGAUGGUUUUUUUGUGCAAACUUAGGAUUUCAAUUCUCAUCAAGGAACUUGCAAGCCAAUUAUUGUAGAAAUGUUUGUCCAAAUGAUAAACAUUUGGAAUCCUAACCACAGGGACUUUUGCAAGCCUAUUAAUUAGCUCCAGGAACUUUAGAUUCUACCUGUUCAAAACAUUUUUUCAAAGAAGGAAGCAUAGGUGAAAGGCGUCUAUUCUGGUUCAUCUCAUUGAAUACAUCAAAUGGAGGAUCAAUACGCUGAAAAAGGGACAAUGGAAAGAACUUUAGCCUACAACUUGAAUUUUAUAACUACUCCUAUGCCAACCAGCAAACCAUAACAGCAUACAUAAAAAAGAGGAUGCUGACUUACAGUUCCUUUCAUUUCACCAAAACCAAUCAAAUCCCUUGCAAUGUUGUUUGGAUCACAACAGCUCAUCUUUCAAUCCUAGAUGGCUCCGCCAAUUUUUUGAAAGCAUACAUGAACUGUUCAAGAAAUAAAUGGAUAAAACAACUACAGGAUAGAAGGCUAAAAAAUUACAAAGAGCAAUGACCUUAUUGUUAAAAUUCCAACGUCCAUUCCUUGGAAAGAUAUCUUCACCAUUGCCCACUCAAGAGAACUCAAAUAGCAGCAAGAUCUCGUAUAAAAUGUAACUCUCAACAACACACACAAAUGUUUGUUCUAUCAAGGAACAAUACACAGACAUAUUCACCUACCCUUGGUGCUGGCAGAAUAUGCCCAUUCACUUUGGUGAAAUUAGAGUUGAUAAUAACCCCACAAGAUUUCUGCACCAUAAUUACUGCGAAGUAAACCUGCACAUAAAUUUUCAUUCUUCACUAGAUACAUAUUGGAAAUUGGCCAACCAUGCUGCUGUUACAUUUUGUGGUUGAAGUGCAUGCAGCUUGAUGACAUGCUGGAGCACAUAUGGUUGCUGUAACAGCAAGGUUUCUCUUUAGUUUCUUUGUUGAUUAAACUAGUUGAAAAUGAACAAGUUGAUGACAACUUGAUGCAUUAGGUGUUGAAUGACUAGUUUAGGUGGCUUGUUUAUGUGUACAAGCAAUGUUUUAAUAGUCCCAAUGCUGAUUAGUGGGGUUAGUUGACUAUUUGAUGAUGUAUUUGACUAUAAAUGUAUGUUUUUUCUAGUUGAAUGAAUGAGCUGAAUAGGCUAUCAGCCAUAAGCUCCCUUGCUGCACAUUUGUGAGCAAGUAAAAAUACUUCUUGCACCUUGCUUCAUUGUUAUGCUCUCUGUUCUCUUCUUUUGCUGCUGCCAAAUGUUCCAACAAUACAGAAUCUAUUUUUGUAAGUAAAAAUUAGUUGUAUUCAUUGUUCACAUAAUUGAUCUUUUGUUGUGGAAGUAUUGUAUUUCCGGUAAUCCAUUAAGUAUUCAGUGUUUGAUAUAAUAGAUUUGCAUUUUAUUAUUGUAUUUUGUGAAAGGAUCCUUUAUCUAUUUUUUGUAACCUAUUUUGUUUUUUGCAUUUCUGAUUAGUUUACAUGAUGGCAUACUCAAUGAUCUCUUAAGUUAGUUAUGUUAGGCUCUUUAACCAUUGUUGUAGCUCACCGUACGUACUCCAUGCCCCCUUAUCCAUAUCUAGCUACUGACUAGUACACAACUAUCAUUGUUCUCACAUCACAUGUGGAUUGGUGGAUUUCUGAUAAUGGGUGUUGUUGCGCAUGCAGCCAUUUUUAUGGUAAGAGACAAUGAUUCAACUACUCUAUACAAUGAUUUAUUAGAUCGUGAUGUAAUCAUAUCACAUCUCAAUUGGGCAUUUAUAUUUCUUGACUUUGUAUAUUCAUAAUGAUACCAUGAUAGCCUUUUCCCCUCUUUUUUUUUGUUUUUUUUUUUUAUCUCUAGUCUCAAUUUUGGGCGUGACACAAUGAAAUUAGAAACUAAAUCUAUUUUUGUAAGUAAAAAUUAGUUUUAUUCAUUCUUCACAUAAUUGAUCCGGUAAUCCAUUCAGUGUUUGGUACAAUAGAUUUGCAUUAUAUAUAGGUUUGCCAAUGAGAUGGCAAGCAGACUGCUAGCUAGAAAUUCUUGCAUCUUUGAAUCACCAAUUCAAUUAAUAAGCUUAACUAAAGGAAAUAAGGACUUUACAUCCACCAAUUUUAGCAACCUAUAUGUACCCUUUUACAGUCUGCAUUGUUCCAUGUUUCAAUUCAUUCCAUCAUUCCUUCAACUCUGCUAUAUAUUAUUACCAUCUCCAGACAACCAAUCCUUUUACUGCUAACUUGUAAAGAAAUUAAGAAAAUACAGCAGAGAUCAUUGACACAUUUUGUUCUCCUUUCUCCUUUACUGAGCAGUAGCAAAGAUUGUCGAGACUAAAUUGAAAGUCAUGAAAGAAGACAUAAACAACACCACCAUACAAAAUGUUACACUCAAACAAACCGUUACAGAUAGUACGAAAUGCAAUGAAAGAGGAAUUGGUACAAUAAUAAAGACAGACACAUACCAAUGCAACCCUUCACCAUAGGCAAAACGGUCUACAGAACAAUAAAUUAUGAAAAUACAACACUAAUUCUUCAACAUCCUUUGCAGUAAUUAGAUCCUUUUUCGUCUAUAGCUUCAAUUGCCUUUCUUUGACUUUCUUCUUCGCCUCCUCUCUUGUUGGUUUUCAACCAAACUCACCAACCAUUUCGGCUUACCAGUUUGGAAAACAACAUAUCCCACGGACAUUCCGAACACCACUCCGCAUCCAUAACCUAUCAACACCACUUUCCAACCAAAAGCAAUGUUUGAUGUUGAGCCAUCUUUUUCAAGCACAUUUGGAGGUGCUGGCUCAAUGAUGUUGCAACCUUUCGAGACCGGAAACCCACAUAGUCCCUUAUUCCCUUCAUAUGAAUCAAUUCCAAAUGUGUUGAAUUGUUUUCCUUGAGGAAUCUGACCAUGGAGUUGAUUUUCAGAAACAUUGAAGGACGAAAGAAAUGGCAGAUCUGCCAAUCUAUUUGGAAUCGUCCCAGACAACCUGUUUGAAGAUAGGUCCAACCAUUCAAGACUUGUCAAAUUCCCUAUUGAGGUGGGGAUACCACCAUUAAGGUUAUUAUGGGAAAGGUUGAGCCCCUUUAGUAAGUUAAGCUUCCCAAUAACUUUUGGAAUCUCUCCUUCAAACUGAUUGUUUGAUAGAUCUAUGAUCAUCCACAUGGUGAAAAUUUUCACCAAUUCCCUAUCUUGUCCUUUCAUAACAAUUUCAAUGGAAUAGGUAUAAAAGUCACUACCUGUCGAAUCAUACACCCCCAUGUACGACAAUUUACUCCCAAUCUUCUCUAGAUUUAUGAUACCCUUGAAGCUGUUGAUGUAUCUCUCUGGUAGGGGUCCAGAAAAAUAAUUACUUGAGAGAUCAAAGAUUUGGAUUUUAGAGAAAAAAGGGCUAGACUUGGAGCUAUUGACACAUAAGGAACCAUGCAAAUGAUUUGACUUCAAUACAAGAACUUGCAAAUAUGGAAGACUUCCCAACCAAUGAGGAAAUGUAUCAUUGAUCUUGUUGUUACCAAGAUCUAGCACUUCCAGACCAUUACAAUUAAGGAUGGAUGGUGUCAAAGGCCCUUCUAACAGAUUUCCAUUUAAGUUGAAAUUACUCAAUUGGCAUCCCUCUGCAAAUGUUGGAGGAAUCGUCCCAUAGAACUUGUUCUUCUUCAGAUUCAAGAAUUUAAGGCUGUUGCUCAGAUUUCCAAAACAUUGCGGAAUUGUUCCACUCAAGUAAUUGUGGGACAAAUCAAGAAUUUGAAGAGCACUGGCAUUGCAUAUUAAAGAAGAGACCUCUCCAUUGAAACUAUUAUUUGAGAUCAGAAAGACAUUGAUCGUCGAUGCUGGAAUCGGAAGAUUUCCACUGAUCAAAUUGGAGCUUAAGUCAAGAAAUUCAAUAUUCUUCCAUGGAAAGUGCUCAACUUCUGUCAAAGAGUUGUGAGAUACGUUUAAGUAAGUCAAAGAGUCAUUCCCCACCUCUUGCAUCCACUGUGGAAUCUUGCCUUCAAUUUUGUUGCAAGAGAGGUCUAAGCUUUCCAAACUUUUAAGCCCUUUCAAAAAUUGGGGGAAUUCACUAAAAUUGCAAGAUGACAAAUGUAAGUCUGUAAGAUUAGGCAAUAUAUGAUUAACACUAGAAGUAGAAUUAGAUGUUAAGGAUAUGCGGAUAUAUGAAAGGUCAAGAUAUUCGAGAUUUGGAAGGCUUGAGAACAUGCGAAACUCUAUAACACCACUAAGAUUAUUUGAGGAUAAAACGAGGUGGGUAAGAUUGAGAACUUGGAAUAUUGAAGAUGGAAAAGGACCUUGGAGUUUAUUAUUGUUUAGAUAUAAAUGUUCUAGUGAUUUGGAUUGGAAUUCUUUGAUAUGCCCACUGAAUUGAUUUUGAGAGAGAAUUAUAACCUUUAAGGAGGGAGCAGUAUACAACCAUGACGGAAGUGUUCCAUUGAGUAAAUUGUCAGAUAAGCCUAAAUAUAUUAGAUUAGGAAAAGUGGUUACCUCAUCUGGAAUGGAUCCUUCUAAAGAAUUUUCAGAUAUUCCCAAGUAUUCCAGCUGGGUUAGGUUUAGAAUUGACAAUGGAAUUUGUCCACUCAAUUGGUUCCACGCCAACUCUAAAUAAGUGAGUUGCAAGAGGUUUCCCAGUGAUCUUGGAACCGUUCCUGAUAAGUUGGAAUUGGAGAGAUCUAAAAACUUCAAGGACACAAGAUUCCCCAUCGAAUCGGGCAAUCCUCCAAAAAUAUUUGCGCCUCUAAUAAUCAAGUACUCCAAAGAUGAUAAAUUUGUGAUUGAGACAGACAAUCCUUGAAAGAAAGAAUUUCCUGAUAGAUCUAAGUACUUUAAGGCCUGUAGAUUAUCAACUGAAUCAAUUAAUUCUGUAGAGAAGGACAUGGACGACAGAUCCAAAUGUUCAAGAUUGCUGCUCCGAUUGAACUUCAAGGGAUUAAGAUUGAGGUUUUGAUUGCCUCCCAAGUUGAGGAGAUUGAGGUUUGGGAAAUAAAAAAUGUUAUUUGGGAAUUUUCCUGGCAAAUCACAACCAGCAAGACUGAGAGACCUUAGAGAAGAGGAUAGAUUCAUGAAGACAUGAGCAUUAACAGAAGACAUGUCCAUUCCAUCCAAAAACAGAUGUCUGACCUCGGUUAGGUUGUGAACAAGUCCCUCCAGAGCAUGUUUGUCAAUUGUAAAUUGCUCAUACUUAUCAGUCCAAGAGGAGAGAUCGAGUGAAACCAAUUUUGGCAGGUGGGAGACUUGGGAUGGGACUUCUCCUACAAACCCUGUACGAGAAAGGUUGAGGUAGAAUAGGCUUGUAAACCGACCGAACUCGGAUGGCAUUUUGGAAAGAUUAAAAUGAUUGUAGGCAAGGUUGAGUUUUUGAAGGUGAGGAAGAAGGAAGAGAGUGGUAUUGGAAGGGAAGUUGCCAUAUAGCCAACUGCAACUCAAGUCAAGGGCAAUAACAUGAGCAUUUAGGUGGUCGCAAGUGACCCCAUCCCAUGAGCAGCAAUCUGUACCCUCCUUCCAUGAAUUUGUCUUGGGAUAAGAUUUAAGGCCAGUAAUAUAAUCGCAAGACAAAGAAGCAACCUUUUUUAUGGAAAAAGAGUCCUUAAACUGGAUUAGUGAAGAGCAGGAGUGAGAUUCUGAAGAAGAAAAAGAAGCAUAAAGAUGGGGAAAGAAGAGGAAUAGGCAGAGAAAGAGAUAGGGGGCCAUGUUAUGUUUGUAGAGGAAGAAGGAUAGGAAUGGUAUUUAUAGGCAACAAAUAAUACCACAACAUUGGUGUCUUUUACAUUGAAAAGCUAUGGAUAUUAGAUUUUCAAAGUUUUUGUAUUUUUCACAAUCAUCAGCAACCACUUGGUCUUGUUUUUACCAUACAUUUUUCGAUUUUUUUAUAGCAAAAUGUUGUAUAUCAUUUGAACUCCCUAAACAACUAAAAAAAUUAAGAUUGAGGAAGAAGACUGCUGGAAAUUUAAUCCAUCGAUUCUAUAAAAACGUGUAUACCUAUACAUAUAAUAAUCUCAUAAUUCAAAUCUAAAAUCUCAUUUGUUAUAAAUUAUGAUAAACUUAUUUGGGAAUAGCUAUUUUUCAUUAAUUAAAUUAUUUCUCUUUUAAUCAAGUAAAAAAUUAAAACUAAAAAGACAUUUAAAUAAUUUAAAUAUCAUUUAAAUUUACAAUCUGUGAUUUUAUAAUAGAAUAUGCAUUAAGGAUUUGCACACACACAGACAUGUUGUGAAGAUUGAGUGAAAUACUAGCUGUCCAAUUAAAUAUAAAAAAUGUCUUUGUUUUUCUGUUGGUAAUGAACAGGAGCCAAAUGUUGAAGUGGCUGGAACUUGUCUUGUAUUGCUUGCCUGCAGAUUUUGGUAUGUUUGAAAUGUAUGGAGAUGUGCCAAGUGGAACUAUUUUGGGGCUUAUCACUACCUCUGUGUCACACAACAGAACACAAAAUAAAAUAAUCAAAUCAGAUCUUUGAAUAUUGAAAUACCAAAAGUUAAAAGAGUACAUGCACUACAACCAAAAGUUUCGAUAUAUGAGGGUAGUGGGACAUGUAUGCUUGUGACCAAUUGGCUAGAAUUACAGGUCUGAAAUGUGGAGAACGUGUGGAUGUAAUUUUGCCCAUUUAUUACAAAUUGAUAAAACUGCAAUAUAAGUGCUUACUAUUUUAACUUUGUUACAAAUUAGUCCUUUUUUCUAAAAUUUAGGGAUUUAUAUAACUCAUUUUCAGAAAUUGACUCAAUUCUUUAAUAGUCAUUGUCGAAAACAUUAUAGAAUACCAAGCUUACGAAUUUGAAAGCAUUAUUGAAAACAAUUAUUAUUUUCAUAAAAUCAUUCAUCAAAUUUUUGUUUUCAAAUUUCAUACAUGAAAUUAACAAAUAAAGAUAGCUCUAAAUAGCAAAACCCAAUAUGUUUUAUCCAAAUUGAUAAAGAUGUUGAUGCAACAUUUUAGAUUGCGAAUUCCUUCAUCACAUUUGGAAUCCUAACCACAGGGACUUGCAAGCCUAUUACGAGUGCUAUGAUAAUCAAAUAAAAUUCAAUUCAAUUUUAAGUUCCAUAUAUAUAACACUUACAUGGCUACAAAAUGUGUGUGUGUGUGUAAGUGUCCUCAACCACAAACAAUCCAAAUUUGCACAGAAACCACCCAUUACAUAUAGGUUUGCCAAUGAGAUGGCAAGCAGACUGCUAGCUAGAAAUUCAUGCAUCUUUGAAUCACCAAUUCAAUUAAUAAGCUUAACUAAAGGAAAUAAGGACUUUACAUCCACCAAUUAAAGCAACCUAUAUGUACCCUUUUACAGUCUGCAUUGUUCCAUGUUUCAAUUCAUUACAUCAUUCCUUCAACUCUGCUAUAUAUUAUUACUUUCUCCAUAUAACCAAACCUUUUACUGCUAACUUGUAAAAAAAAUUAUGAAAAUACAACACAGAUCAUUGACACAUUUUGUUCUCCUUUCUCCUUUACUGAGCAGUAGCAAAGAUUAUCGAGACUAGAUUGAAAGUCAUGAAAGAAGACAUAAACAACAACACCAUACAAAAUGUUACACUCAAACAAACUAUUACAGAUAGUACGAAAUGCAAUGAAAGACAGAGGAAUUGGUACAAUAAUAAAGACAGACACGUAACAAUGCGACCCUUCACCAUAGGCAAAACGGUCUACAGAACAAGAAAUUAUGAAAAUACAACACUAAAUCUUGAACAUCGUUUGCAGUAAUUAGAUCCUUCUUCGUCUAUUGCUUCGAUUGCCUUUCUUUGCUUUUCUUCUUCGCCUCUUCUCUUGUUGGUUUUCAACCAAAUUCACCAACCAUUUCGGCUUACCAGUUUGGAAAACAACAUAUCCCACGGACAUUCCGAACACCACUCCGCAUCCAUAACCUAUCAACACCACUUUCCAACCAAAAGCAAUGUUUGAUUUUGAGCCAUCUUUUUCAAGCACAUUUGGAGGUGCUGGCUCAAUGAUGUUGCAACCUUUCGAGACCGGAAACCCACAUAGUCCCUUAUUCCCUUCAUAUGAAUCAUUUCCAAAUGUGUUGAAUUGUUUUCCUUGAGGAAUCUGACCAUGGAGUUGAUUUUCAGAAACAUUUAAGGACGAAAGAAAUGGCAGAUCUGCCAAUCUAUUUGGAAUCGUCCCAGACAACCUGUUUGAAGACAGGUCCAACCAUUCAAGAGUUGUCAAAUUCCCUAUUGAGGUGGGGAUACCACCAUUAAGGUUAUUAUGAGAAAGGUUGAGCCCUUUCAGUAAGUUAAGCUUCCCAAUAACCUUUGGAAUACCCCCUUCAAACUGAUUGUUUGAUAGAUCAAUGAUCAUCCACAUGGUAAAAAUUUUCACCAAUUCCAUAUAUUGUCCUUUCAUAACAAUUCCAAUGGAAUAGGUAUAGAAGCCACUACCUGUCGGAUCAUACACCCCCAUGUACGACAUUUUACUCCCAGCCUUCUCUAGAUUUAUGAUAGCCUUGAAGCUGUUGAUGUAUCUCACUGGUAGGGGUCCAGAAAAAUAAUUACUUGAGAGAUCAAAAAUUUGGAUUUUAGAGAAAAAAGGGCUAGACUUGGAGCUAUUGACACAUAAGGAACCAUGCAUAUGAUUUGACUUCAAUACAAGAACUUGUAGCUGUGGAAGACUUCCCAACCAAUGAGGAAAUGUAUCAUUGAUCUUGUUG